rnacentral:rRNA from 1 species
UACGUAGGUGGCAAGCGUUACUCGGAAUCACUAGGCGUAAAGCGCGGGUAGGCGGUUUGGUAAGUCUGUUGUGAAAGCUCCUGGCUUAACUGGGAGAGGUCAACGGAAACUACCAGGCUAGAGUAUGGCAGAGGAAGCUGGAAUUCCCGGUGUAGCGGUGAAAUGCGUAGAGAUCGGGAGGAACACCUAUGGCGAAAGCAGGCUUCUGGGCCAUUACUGACGCUGAUCUGCGAAAGCUAGGGGAGCAAACAG